ACUGUUUUCAGUGCUGUGAUUCCCUGAUUUUGAUCAAGGCUUCAUCUUCUGACACCCAGAUGCUCUUGCUGCUUUGGUUCAUUGUCAAAUUGGGAUGUCUCAAGGCUUUCAGAUGGUGAGCUUACAUCAGGAUGGGUAUUCCCUGGAAUCCUAGGGCUUCACUUUGAGUUUAACAAAGAGAUGUGGAUACAAUGUGAAUGUUUGCAGUAACAGGAACUUCAGAGAGACCCACAAAAUCUUUUCCAAUGCUGUUCCUUAGUCUUGGGGUCUUUCUUUGGUUCUCACGUCUGGAAAAGUCACUGAAUUAAUACAUUCUGCAGAGCAUAAACCAAGCCAAACAGGAUAUGCUGGGCUUUGUUAAUGCAGACCUCUAUCCAUCAGAGACUCAGUUGAGACCAGUAAAUCUGAGCAUUCCCUUUAAGAUGAAAAUGAGAAAGGAAUUAAUUUUAAUGAGUGAUGUUUUUUCUGCUGCUUGCCCUGUUGUGUAUGGCCUCUGUGUAGGCAGUGUGAUCUGCCAUGAUGUCAGUGCUCUAUGAUCAAACCCCUUCCAAGAGGGGAUAGAUUACAUAUGUUUCUGUGUCAAGUCCAGUCCCUGAAGAAUGUUGCCAAUCCAUUAAGAGCCUGGCAGGCUGUACUGGGAAAUGCUAGCUUUUCCCAGAGCACAGAAGAGAGAGGCAAGCCUGAGAAUAAGGUGGAAGGAAAGAAUCAUCUCAGCAGCAAAUCUCUUGCUUGGCAUCCCUGGCUCUUGCUUGCCAAUACCUGAUAUUAUAGAGACUUGAAAAACUAGAUCAAGAACAAGGAAAUCCAGCUGCUGUGGUAUCUAUUGCUGCCCCUAGUGGGCUUCUGACAAUGGACUGGAGUGAGAGAUGCCAAAAUUGUUUUGUCUUACUUUAAGUGCAGGAAGGAGUAGUAGCUCCAUCAAAAAACCUACCAAAUGUCCAGAGCUGGCAACAGUAAUGGAGUAGCAAUGUGGAAAUUGAAAGGACAAGGAGCAGGGGGAUUUGCUGCAGUGCUGCUUACUAAAUGAUCAUGGGCAUCAUUAAAUGAGUGGCAUCAAGUGCCAAGCUUUCAAAAGCUGUCUAUCUCUUUCCUGGGGAAGUUCCAACCUGAUUACCAAGUGUCCUGCUUGAGAUACACCUUAGAAAGGAACCAUGAAAAAUAUAGAAUCAUAUUUUUCUGAGAGAACUAAGGGGGUGAUUUCUAGCUAGUUUUCUCAUAUUUACACCAUUUUGAGUGAAAACUGCUCAAGGCACCUGCCAUGUUGCUUAUGAAGAGGGACUCCCAAACUGUUUCCAUUCUCUUUGCUGGCAUACAUUAGUGAAGCAUCUUUCUCUACCAGACCUACUAGCCAAUCUGAGCACAGCUUAUCACCAGACUCAUUUAAUGAGAAUACUGACUGGUGUUGGCUUCUGGGAUCCCAGUGUGACUGACCCAGCUCUGCUGCAUGAGACAGGAGUUGUGGGUUCUUGGUGCAGACUGUUGGAUUAGACUGGGACCCUGGCUACACCCUCUGCUUAUAAGCUGUUCUCUUUUUGCCAGCUUCCCCUCAAAGUGCUGAAGUGCCCCCACAAACCACAUGCCCAGAGCACUCCAUUCAGGUUUGUCAAAUCCCAGUUUGCCUGGUCCCUGAAGCAGCCUCAGAGAACAAUCAAAGCCACUGCAGUGCAAUUUCCGACUGAGAAUUUCCUUCCUAUUUCUGAGUGAACGUGUGUGUGUGUGUAUAUAAAAAAAAAAAAAAAAAAAAAAAAAAAACCACCACAACCCCACAACAUUUUGGUUUUGUGCACUAAGCACUUUUGAGGGCAAUAUGGGGCCCUGUAAUAUGGAGGUUUAUAACCUCCUCAGCUAAUGCUCUCUGACACUCUGUUUUGAUAUCAUUACUACAUUAUACUCACAAUUUUUGAGUGAAAAAAUACAGUACUUAGAAAGUCGAAAUUCAUAAAUAAAUUCAUGUCAAACCGCACUUAAUAUUGAUUUUGUUAGUGUUCAGAUUCAAUAAUAAGGUACUGCGUGCAUGAAUAUUUAAAUAUAAUCAUCAUUUCUGCAUCUCCUAAUGGCCUCUGCUCUUCUACACUCAAUUUAAACACAAUUUAAAAACUAUAAUGUAUUGAAAAAUACUAGGAUUUAGCAAUAAAUCACCAUUGGGAUACUCCAAGCCUUUUAUAGGAUGGCUCAAUAUCUGCUUCUCAAGGGACAGCACAAUUAGAUUCAUGUUUUUAAACUUCUCAAUUAUCCAUAUACCAUAAUUUUAUGUGAAAGUUUGUUUCUCUUCCUCCCCCCUCCACCCUUGCUCCCCCUCCUCACCCUUCACCAGAUACUCUCCCAGUAGGAAGCGGAGAAAUCGCUAAGUGUUCUCUUAGCUAGGUUAGUAUAGUAAAAAGGAGUCAAAGGUCACAGUCCUCAAACUGAAUUAAAUCCAGAGGCUGUCAGGGAAAGCAGAACGCUGACUCACUUAAUCACAUUAUUUGGGCAAAAAUAUAGGGGGAGGAGAGAGAUAAAAUGACUCAAAAUGAACUCACCAAGGAGGAAACGGAGUUUUUAUAUUUAUUUAAAAAGCAAUAUUCGUCUUUAUCAAAUAGACGCAGGAUGGUUCGAUGAGGAUGGAGCUGGCUGGUCAUUUGCGCAGUCGCAGGCAGGAGGGCUCUGGCAAGCAGAUUUUUCCCGAGCAGGAUCAGUGAGGGAAGGAUGCAGUGCCCUCGGUGCCUUCAGUGCCAGGCUGGCUUGUUUAUUGAUGGGGGGUGUUUCUGUAGUGCUGGUCGCUAAACCAUCUGCAAACCACACCCUCUGAGGUAGGUCAUUAUCAUUAUCCUCAUUUUACACAUGGGGAAACUGAGGCACUGGUGGAUGAAGUUGUUAUGGCAGAGUCCCAGUGACAGAGCUGGGUCUUUGGGUUCCUAAUGCUAAUCCCUUUGCCCAGGCUAUAUGGCCAUUCUCUCUCACCAGUGUCCUCAGAGACCAUGAUGGAAAGAGAGAUUAAAAGGAUCUAGUGCUGGAAUCUGAUACAGUAGCACUAACAUUUUAGGAGAGCAGUAUAUCCCAAUGGCAUUGGCAUGGGAUUAACUCUGCUGGUCCUGAGGGUGGCUUGCUAGUUUUGUUCAAUGUGUUGCUAUCAGAUGUGAGGAAAUUGUCAGUAGGGGAAGAGAGGAGUGCAGGUCUGGUGUCCAAUGGAGAGGACAUGGUCCUGUCACUGGGUGAUGCUGGCAGUGCCACACAGUACCCUUGCAAUGCUUCAUAAAUCAUUUUGUGGGGCUGGAAAUCACUGUUGGCUGGGGAUCAAAGUGUGGCCUGAUUAACAGCAUCCAUCCACCCUGGUGGUGGAGGGAGGGCAAAGGUCUGCUGAGGGGCACACAGAUUGCUCACCUUUACAAUCCCCUAUCAAGCAGCCAGAACUCCUCCAGGCCACACUGUAUCUGGCUGAGUUUUUGCUUAUAUUCCAUAUUUCACCUAAAUUCAUUAGAACUGUUUUCUAAAGAAAUUUAGUGUGUUUCAUUGGAAGCAGUUUUUAUCUCAUACAUCUGCCAAAGCAUCCUCUCCUGCUGCCUCAGGAUCAAAUCAAACUUAUGAAGACCUGUGACUGGAUAAAACAGAUGUAAUUGAUGGGACAAAACUCUAACCCAGAUGAGAUGUUGUGAUUCUGUCUGCCACAGUUUGAAGGUCUGUUCAUUCUUUUUUUGUGGGAGAGUAAGACAGACAUUCCUUUCCUUGAUAGACAGGAACCACUUUCACCUCUAACAGUUCUAGAUCUCUUUUGUCGGGCUGUUGUGUUGAUCUGCAAAAUACGUUUGCAAUCCUGAUACCAAAUAUUGUCCACCUUCCUGUGGGGAGGAAGGGAUAGCAAAUUUCUCUAUAAGAAAAAAGGCAGGGUCAGGAAGAUAAUUGCAAGAAUUAUGCAGGUGCAUACGGGGUUUUAAUUUUUUUUUUCUAGGCUGUUUUUGAGCUUCUCUGAAGUGUCAAAAAGUAGAAUCAAAGUCUUAUCUGAAGGGACCUAUAUAUGGCAAAUGCAGUUCAUCACAUGAUUUCACCAGUUUUUCAGUGUAUAGCGUAUUAGGGAGCACCUAGAUCUGUGUGUUAGGGAAUGGAAUAUUGGCGCUUGUUGAAGGUCCACUGGCAUACAGCACUUCAGCUUGGUGGAGGCUGUUGGGGAAUGCACACCUGGAUGAGCGGCAGACUCGGACUUGGAGAUGGAGAUGCAAACUCCAGAAGAGCCCCAACAGCUCUCCAAGGAGGUGUCAGAGGAGGUGGGCAGGUACUCGGAGAAAAAGCUGGCAGCAAAAAGUAUUGAAGGUUUUUCACAGUUGCCUGCUCACAGACUCUGCAUAGCCACAUAUGACACAGCAGCAGGAUUUCCUGUCUGCCUAACGUGGU